UACAGAGGGUGCGAGCGUUAAUCGGAAUUACUGGGCGUAAAGCGCGCGUAGGCGGCUUUUCAAGUCGAUUGUGAAAUCCCCGGGCUUAACCUGGGAACUGCAGUCGAGACUGUCUAGCUAGAGUAUGGGAGAGGGAAGUGGAAUUUCAGGUGUAGCGGUGAAAUGCGUAGAUAUCUGAAGGAACAUCAGUGGCGAAAGCGACUUCCUGGACCAAUACUGACGCUCAUGUGCGAAAGCGUGGGGAGCGAACAGG
rnacentral:rRNA from 1 species